GGGCCCGCACAAGCGGUGGAGCAUGUGGUUUAAUUCGAUGAUACGCGAGGAACCUUACCAGGGCUUAAAUGUAAGUUGCAUUAGUUAGAGAUAGCUAUUUCUUCGGACUACUUACAAGGUGCUGCAUGGUUGUCGUCAGCUCGUGCCGUGAGGUGUCAGGUUAAGUCCUAUAACGAGCGCAACCCCUGUUGUUAGUUGCCAUCGAGUCAUGUCGGGAACUCUAAGGAGACUGCCGAUGACAAAUCGGAGGAAGGUGGGGACGACGUCAAGUCAUCAUGGCCCUUACGUGUAGGGCUACACACGUGCUACAAUGGCCGGUACAAACGGUUGCGAACCCGCGAGGGGAAGCUAA
rnacentral:rRNA from 1 species